rnacentral:lncRNA from 1 species
AACUUUCUAUCAAAAUUGGAUUAUUAUUCCUACAUAAAAUAAAACCUAAAUCUCCCCCCCACACUCAAACCUUACAUUGUCCCCAAUGUAAGAAAAUCAUGCAAAGAAGAAAAUACUACUAGCAAACAUGCAAUAAAAAAACUAAAAAAAAAAUAAAGGGAUAGAAAAAUCAAAUCUGAGAUCUUGGGUUGCCUCCCAAGUAGCUGCCCGUGUUUAACGUCUUUGGCUCGACGUCAUGCCUCUCUUCUCAACUUUCAUAGAUCGGAUCGUCUAGCUCCACCAUCUCAAUAUUUUCCACCUGAUGCCCCUCAUAGAAAGGCUUUAAUCUAUGUCCAUUCACCUUAAAG